UUUGCUUGCGCAACAACUUCCAUCCUUCAUUCCUCUUCAUUUGUCUGUUAAGGCUUGUAUUGCCUUAGCGGGUUGUGGGGUUUACUGUGUUGCCUACCUAAGUAAUGGUAUUGUCCUGAUCGAUGCUUGUCCCUUUUCGUCUUCUAUCAUUCUCAUGAUAGCAGAUGAACCCUGAAGCGGUCUCUUUGUACCACAUUGUUAAUGCAUGCGUUGAUGUUGUGGCCCAUUGAGCAUUGCUUGGUCUCUUGGAUACGGAACAUGAUGUGGGCAUGGGAUUUCUUACGAGAUCCUGGUUCUGUCCUCCUAUAGCGUUGCAUUACUCUUAAAUUGACUUACCUUUUCCUGCCUGGCAUAUUCCAGCAGGGACGGUUGUGUUAUUCUAAGAGGCAUGCAACGUGCACUUCUCUUAAUGACUGGCCUUCCCCCUCCACGUUUAGCACUGGCGGGGUAGGCUUUGUCAAAGAGGAAUGCUACCUGGUUGAUCCU
rnacentral:misc_RNA from 1 species